UGCGCGUCGUGUUAGUUAAAAGUAUUGUUAAACAAAAUAAUAUUUAAGAAAAAAGUGUAUAUUAUAUUGUGUUUCUUCUUUUGUUACAGUUAAAACAAAAACGUAUACAGUAUAGAUUAAAAAAGUUGUUCCCUAAAAGUUAUUAGUACGGCUUGUAAAUAAUAGGCCUUGAGAAAAAGAAAUCCACUAAGAGGUUAUAAAAAAAAAGACGGCAAACUACAAGAAAAGGUCCAUUGGGCCUUUUCUUUUUAUUUCGACCGCUCGGAGUGGUUCCGUUCUACGCAGUACUCUACAGACCGCCAUUUUGGGUGGCAUAGAGGAUCAGAAGGCAGCAAUCGUGAAGGAACGGUUAUUUUACGCCAUCUUGGUAAUAUUGACAGCUCGGACAGACACGUGACUCGGCUUAGAGACGACCAUCAAUCGCUGUAUC